rnacentral:rRNA from 1 species
AACUUUCUGAACGUUGA